rnacentral:rRNA from 1 species
GAUGAACGCUGGCGGCGUGCCUAAUACAUGCAAGUCGAGCGAACAGACGAGGAGCUUGCUCCUCUGACGUUAGCGGCGGACGGGUGAGUAACACGUGGAUAACCUACCUAUAAGACUGGGAUAACUUCGGGAAACCGGAGCUAAUACCGGAUAAUAUAUUGAACCGCAUGGUUCAAUAGUGAAAGACGGUUUUGCUGUCACUUAUAGAUGGAUCCGCGCCGCAUUAGCUAGUUGGUAAGGUAACGGCUUACCAAGGCAACGAUGCGUAGGCGACCUGAGAGGGUGAUCGGCCACACUGGAACUGAGAUACGGUCCAGACUCCUACGGGAGGCAGCAGUAGGGAAUCUUCCGCAAUGGGCGAAAGCCUGACGGAGCAACGCCGCGUGAGUGAUGAAGGUCUUCGGAUCGUAAAACUCUGUUAUUAGGGAAGAACAAAUGUGUAAGUAACUAUGCACGUCUUGACGGUACCUAAUCUGAAAGCCACGGCUAACUACGUG